UUUUUUUUUUUAGGGCUGCACCUGUGGCAUAUGGAAGUUCCCAAGGUAGGGGUUGAAUUGGAGCUGCAGCUGAGGCCUACACCACAGCCACAGACACACCAGAUCUGAGCCACAACCUAUGCUGCAACUUUCAGUAACUCCAGCUCCUUAACCCACUGAGUGAGGCCAGGGAUCGAACCUGCAUCCUCACUGAGACUACACUGGGUUCUUAACCUGCUGAGCCACAAUAAGAACUCUUGAGCUGAGUACUUUUAAGUGCCAUCUCUUUUCAUCUUCAGUGGCGUGUUAUCAUUCCUACUGAACAGAUGAGAGAAUGGAGACUGAGAAAAUAAAGUCCUACAUCAUUUAGUCUUAAUCAUUCACAUUUUUUGUUUCCAUGCCAUUUGUCAUCAGACUCCCUCACCUCUGGACACAGCUAUGUGAUGGGUUUGCACCAGAGGAAUGUCAACAAACGUGGUACAAACAGAAGGUGGACAGUGUCCACGAAAAAGACAUCCCAGGCUAGGCGCAGAUCCCAGGAGGAUGAGCAUCAGGCAGUGUGUGCAUACAAUAAAUUUUCAAGAUCCCAGUUCCUCAAGAGUAGAACCAGAACUUGACACAGGUCUUCCCAAUCUAAAUUUCAAGUUUUCUACUCUAGACAGCUCUGAAAGCAGGUCAUGUCAAGUGAUGGAAAUUAUGACCAUUCAAAUAUCUGCAGGCCUCCACAUCGAGAGCUGAGCUUCAGGCUGCACACACUAGCACUUUUGUGUUACUGAACAUCACACACCAGAACCUACAACAUUUCAUUCUCAAUGCUUUUUUUUCCUCCACUAUUUUCAUUCUAAAACUGCGGAAGCCUGGGGGAGAGUGGGUGUUAGGUUCUAAGUCGUGGUUGAUCAGUCAUCUUGUCUUUAUGAUCUUUCAGCUGCUCUGUCCCAUUUUCUAAUGAACAGCAAUUGCCGGAAGUUAUCAGCAAUCAGUAUGGCAGAUAAUUGGACUCUAGCCCUGGGAGACAUCUUCCUUCAGCAGUUCUUGUCUUUAUGAAAAACUGUGCCACACAGUGGGAGAAAGAAAGCUGCUUUCUUUCAUUCGCAUGCACACUUUAAUUGGAAAUGGGUUUCUGCCUACCCGUGUGUUGGAUGACAACAACAACAAAAAAGGAUAAAGAACAGAGUGACAUUACUUUGCAAAGUGUGCCAAAAGAGGCAUUUACAUUUCUUUCUGUUUUUCCUUCUUUUCUUUAAGGUUUUUUGGUUUAAGUGCUUUUGUUAGGAGGGAGGAAACCAACAGCUGCUGUGGCCUCAGACCAUUACUCUGGUGCUUGCUUAGAAGACCUCUGGGAGCGGAGAUAAGGAAAGAGUUGAAGUCAACAUUCGGGUGCAAGGCACCGAGAAAACUGCUGGCACUUUCCUUCCUUCUGAUUCCCGAGGAAGCAGAGCCAGCUGAACGUUCCUUUAACCCUCUCCUACCUCCUCCUUGCAAAGAAGGCACUCAUUAGGACUUUUAAGGCCUCUUAUUUCCAAGCUCCAAAAUAAGGCUUUGUGCUGGAGGAUAUGAAAUAGGGGAAACACGUUCUCUUGAGAUUUCUCUCAAGAAAGAAGGAAGGUCAGGAUCAGGAAGGCCAAGUUCAGGAAGGCCAGGUCUUAGAUCGCUUUCAAAAAUCAAAACCUAGGAGUUACCAUCGUGGUUCAUCAGGCUAAGGACUUAACAUUGUUUCACUGAGGAUGUGGAUUCAGUUGUGGGCCUCCCUCAGGGGGCUGAGGAAUCAGUGUUGCCACAAACCGCAGCAUUGGUUGCAGAUAUGGCUUGGAUCCAGUGUUGCCAUGCUUCUGGUGUAGGCCUGCAGCUGCAGCUCCAAUUUGACCCCUAACUCAGGAGCUCCCAUAUGCCCUAGGUGAGACCAUUAAAAAAUAAAAAAUCAAAGCAAAACCUGGACAGGAAUGGGACAAAAAUGAGAGUGACCUGCAGAGAUGGGAAUCCUAGGAGUUUCUGCUUCUGAGAUUUCUUUGGACCCUCAAGCUGUGUAAGCAGAACAGGAACUUUUUUCUCCAAUGGGCCCAUCCUGCCCUCUGAGGGUGUGAAAAAAGCCCCAUUUUCUAUCCAAAAAGUGCCUCAUUAAUGACUGAGCUCAUCUAAGCUCAGUAUAGAGAUGCUGCAGGGUUCUCUCAAUCCAUUUGGGCUACUAUGAUAGAUGUACCACAGCUAGAGAGGCACAGAAAUGACUGAAAUUCAUUUCUCACAGUUCUGGAGGCUGAGGAGGCCAAGAUCAAAGUGCCAGGAGAUUCACUGUCUGGUGAAGACCCACUUCCUAGUUCACAGACUUGCCUUUUUGCUGUGUCCUCACAUGGAGGAAGGGACAAGGCAGCUCUGUGGGGUUUAUUUUCAAAGGGCGCUAAUCCCAUUCAUGAGGGCUCCACCCUCACGAACGAAUCUUUCUCCAGAGGCCCCACCUCCUAACACCAUCACCUUGGGGGUAGGUCUCAACGUACAAAGGUCAUGGGCAUCUGCGAACAUCCCAUCUAUAGGAAGAACUACUGUAUGUUAGGUCCAGCCAGCAGCUCUGUUCUGAGGUUAGUUACCAAGGUAAUGAAGACUGGUCAUGGCUCUUGAAGAAGUCCAAGGAUUGGAGAAGAAAAUCCUUCCAACCAUCAGAACUGUACUGAGGGAGAGCUUGCAAAGAGGGCUGGACAAUUCAAGUGGAGGCAAAGAUGGGGAAAGCACUGAUUUCUGGGGCCUCGUGAAGGAAGCCUUUAAGGAGGAGCUAUUCUUGGGGCCUGAAGGUCAGAGAGGAGGCCAUAUAAAGGAGACCACUAUGCUGGGGCUUAUGGUUUGCCAAGAUGGUGGGGUGGGUAUGGAGAAGGGUGGAGCUGAAGAGAGGAUUUCAGGCAGAGAAAUUCACACAUGAAAAUGAAAUAGAGGCAGAAAAUAACAUGAUGCUUGAAGACAAAGGUAAGAACACCAAGAUGUCCAAGAUGUGCAGAGUGCUGAUAAGUGAUCUCCAGGUUAUAUGAUCUCAGAUGCUCUUGUUCCUAGUUUAUAACUUACUUUGCACCUCACAUUAUUUGAAAAAAAUCUAUACACUUUGCACAAAGGAAAUAAUAGGUGUAAUUCACUUUAUACCUCCAGUGUUUCCUUGAAAAGUGGCAUGUUAAUUUAUUUAAAAUUCCGUAGGAACUUCUUUUAUAUUAUGAAUGCUCAGUCUGUUAAGUUAUUUAACGUGACACGUUGAAGUAUGCAUACCUGCACAGUAUGUGAUGGUCUCUUUAAUUACCAGUAGUGAGAGCACCUAAUAAUGGAAGGAUGCUGAGAACAUGACCUUUCAAACAAGAAAUGUGCCUCAAUGUGCAUUAUUUUAAUAGCUCUGAGAGGUUUUUCAGAUCAAUCCUGCAACUUAAAUUUCCUUGGCCAGUUUUGACCUGAGGCACAAAAGAAAAUAAUUGCUUAAUUCAAUUUCUUUCUGUGUCAAAAUCAUGGAAUUAAUGAUAGCUAUCGAUAAGCAUCUUUUCUCCCCAAACCUAGAAACACAUACUGGUUCACAAGCUGUGUCUGAACCUUCCUAUCUAUGUGCCUUAAAAGCGAAAUUAGGAGUUCCUGUCAUGGUGCAGCAGAAAUGAAUCUGAUUAGGAACCAUGAGGUUGCAGGUUCAAUCCCUGGCCUUACUCAGUGGGUUAAGGAUCCGGCAUUGCCGUGAGGUGUGGUGUAGGCCGGCUGCUACAGCUCUGAUUGACCCCUAGCCUGGGAACAUCCAUAUGCCUUGGGUGCGGCCCUAAAAGGC
rnacentral:lncRNA from 1 species